CAUGAUCCUUCCUUGCUCCCUCCCUAUGUAAACUCUUUACAGCUGGAACACCGAGAGGCGAAAAUCCUGAAUCUUCGAAGCGAGAUCGAGCUUUCUGCGGGGGAAGAGGGAUGGCCUGCCAUCUGAGCUGGAUGCUCAGGAGCAGAGGAUCUAUCAACUGCAGACCAGGCACGGGGAGACGCAGGCAGAACUGGAGCAGAAAUGCAGCCGGAUCUGGCAGCUUCGGGUAGGAGCUGGAGGCCACUACCAGGCUGCAGGAAGAGCACCACAAACAGAACCCUUCUUUUCUUAGUUGGAAGAUUCAGCAUGAUUUCAGCUCAUUCCAAAGAAAGAACUAGAGACUGGAAAUGGGAACCGCAGCUUUCUCAGAAGAGCAGAGGCACUGUGGGAAACUCGGGGGCUUGGAGGUACAAAGCGGGAGAAGAAAAUUGCACCGCUACCGAUCGCAGACAAGGCUGCCGGUCAAACCCCGAUCCGAACGGGGGAAGCUUCCAAAUCCACGCCGAUUCCCCGGGAUGUCGAUCCCCUUAUCCUGUUUUCCUCGUGGGGCUGAGAAUGGGGUGGCCCCGUGGAAGAGCGGAGGGGAAAUCACCACCCUCCCAAAGGACAGAGCGGUCCUAAUCAGUGAUAACAGUGUUAAGUGGUCAGCCAGGAGAUGAGGUUUGCUCCGAUCUAUUGAUCUGUCCUCCCCUGGGAUAUAAAUCCUUCUGAAUUUGCUUUGGCGGAUAUAAAUAUUUAUAAUUAAAAUAGCCCGGGAACCUCGUGCAGAAACAGGGAAGUGACUUACACCUUGGGCAGGCUUCAGAGCACCCUCCUUCUGAGCCCCACUUCCCCGUUUUUAGCAUCCUCUCCUCCCUCUCCUCUGUUUCUGCUCCUUCCUUUUGUGCCCCAUUUAUAGAACCCUCUGUUCAGCCGGCGCAGCACUUCAGUCUCUAUCAGAAGCUAGAAAAAUCCAUUCUUUCUGAA
rnacentral:lncRNA from 1 species